AUUUUCUUUAUUACCCAAAGAAACAUUAUUCAUAAAUUAAAACUUUUAUUACCCAAAGAAACAUGAUUCGUAAUUCAAACAUUUUAUUAUAUACCGCAAAUAGUAUUUGUACCAAUCAAACUUUAUUUUUGUACCGAUUAUUGUGUACUAACCGAACUUGUCCUGCAAACACGUUUCUCCCACACGUACCGCAGUUGAACCGUACCACAUUACAAAACCAUUUUUCCUACACAAGAAAAUACGCUGUUAGCAUUUGGACCCAUAAUUAUCAAACCAUUUCUAAACUGCUGGUUCCGCUCGUCUCAUUCACAGCCAUAGUUUGAAUGAAAGAGAUCGUGGGAUUGUGGAUUAGAUGAACAUAUCUAUUGUAAUUUUCUUUUUUCAUUUUUUCAUUUUUGGCUAUGAAUGGGAAACCUAAACGAACUAUGUGGUACGGUUCAAUAAUUUUUUUAGUUACCAUUUAAUAGCAUACUUUUUACAAUAUAACUGUUGUAGAAUAAAAUAAUUAUAAUUAAAAACAGAAGUGGAUCAUGUUUGCACAGAAAUUCAGUGUGUGGUUAGUAUACGUCACUUAGAGGUUCCGAAUGGUGACAGCGGAUUGAGCGGUGCAGAUCAAUUGGAUAUACAAAUUGUGGUGCGGUUUAACUGCAAUAUGUUAAGAAAAAACGCAGUAUGCAAAAAAUGUGUGGAUCAAGCGGAUCUAGUAGUGUAUAUAAUUUAUGAAUGGUGAAAAAAGAUGCGGUAAGAUACAAAUGUUUGAAUGGUGAAAAGUACAAAAAGCGGUUUGGUAUAUAUAUCUUGUAAAAUGUACCACUUUUUUGGAGUUCUCUUACAAUCCCUACCACACAAAGCUUCCUCUUACACAAUGUACAACAAUUCGAGUGCACGUGGAAUUUUGAGGAUGAAAAUACCCUUUGUGUGGGUCAGGUACUGUGUCUCAGAUGGUGACAGGUUGGUUCGGCGCAAAGAAGCAGAAACUGUUCAGUAAUAAAUGCUUUCCGUUUUCAAUUGGUUGAUAAAUGGAUAUUUAUUUUUAAAAUGGUAAUAUAGUAGGGUUAGACACUUUAGUUACUCUAUUAAUGUACUAGAAGAAAGAGGUUUUAUAGAACUGAAUACAACUGGAAAUCUGGGGAAUUUAGGAGUUGUUGUUGAAGAAAGGGACAUUUACUCCGGACGAGGUAAAAUUGAUAGUGUGGAAUUGUGGUGAUUCGCUUUAGUUUGGUAGUUACAUUUGUUUGCUUGUUUGUGAUAAAUGCAACUACCUCAUAUUCCAAAAUGGUAACUUUUCAAUUUGGUAAAGCCUCUUGCGAAGUCUAUCCCGAUUAAAUUCAGGGAUACUGGGACUUGCUGGCGGAUCAAAGAGCGUUUCAGCGGAUGAUUUGGCGGAGACAAAUGGGUCGUCGUCGUCUUCGAAGGCCAUAGCCCGCCUGGCACCGCCAAGCGGUGACUUCUAUUUGGAUUUGUUGGUGGAGGACCUCAUCUGUGGUGAGAUAAACAGAAACAAUUACUAAAUUAUUUUGGAGUAAUCGUACUUGUUGCGCUAGAUGCGUUUCUCUAAACUGCACCAAUUAAAACCACACCGCACUUUUAUAACCGCUUGUCCCACAUUACCCAAACCGCACUUCUAUAACCGCUUGUCCCGCAUUACUCAAACCGCAUUUCUAUAACCGCUUGUUUCGCAUUAAUGUUAGUAGUUAUUAAAAAUAACUUAUCUAGUGUUUCUAUUUUUGGUGAGUUUUCAAUAUUUAAGAAUCAUAAGACUAAAAUAAUAAUUGAAUUAGGCCUUGAAUGGAAACAUUAUAAGUGCGGAAAUCAAUUGUGUUUUUGGAAAAACGCGUUAAGUCUCCAAUCACAUGUUUCUAAUGUAAUUUGUAUUU
rnacentral:sRNA from 1 species